AAAGUUGAAAAGCACUUUGAAGAGAGAGUUAAAGAGGACGUGAAACCGGUAGGAUGGAAACGGAAUGAGCUAGCGAAGUCGCUUGCAUUCAGCCAAAGGCCCGUGGUGGCCGGUCGUCGGGUUGCUAAUCACGCCAGGCGGUCGUCCGGCUGUGGGCUGAGGUGCAUUUGCGGGCGAAUGCGCUGAGACUUGUGGGGCAGCUGCUGGACCCUUGUUCUAGAGGCCGUCUUCUGGACGGAACCUGGUCUUGGUUACGGCUGUUUGUCCUGCUCGUAGUUUUGUGCGGUCAACGUUGCUCGUUCUGCUGGCUUGUGGCGGUGGUAUCGCAUGC
rnacentral:rRNA from 1 species